CACGCCGUAAACGAUGGGUGCUAGGUGUCGCGGGCUUUGACUCCUGCGGUGCCGUAGCUAACGCAUUAAGCACCCCGCCUGGGGAGUACGGCCGCAAGGCUAAAACUCAAAGGAAUUGACGGGGGCCCGCACAAGCGGUGGAGCAUGUGGUUUAAGUCGACGCAACGCGCAGAACCUUACCUGGGCUAGAAAAUGCAGGAACCUGGUCGAAAGGUCGGGGUGCUCUUCGGAGAACCUGUAGUUAGGUGC
rnacentral:rRNA from 1 species